GUAGGCCACCGGAAGGAAGUGGAGGACCACCAACUUUGAUCGGAAUAGCUUCGGCGAAAACAGCUUUAACGAAUGAACCACCGGCUAAACCAGCCGCCACGAGUCCAAUCACUGACCGGCGACUACUUUCUGGUACUGACACGUUCUGCUGAGCCCUGAUCACAAGUCCGGUUCUCUGAGACCCAACCGAGACUCUUGAGAUGUUCAAACGGUUUGAGCCGUUGAUCUGUAAACUUCCUUCAAGGACAGCCUGAGAUGCUCCACGUAAGCCAGCCAUCGAAGUCACUGCUUGAGCCAUUUUUUUUUUAUCUGCUUUGAAUAAUUGAUUAGUGAAGUG
rnacentral:sRNA from 1 species